rnacentral:rRNA from 1 species
AUAAUCCUACGGGGGGCAGCAGUGGGGAAUAUUGCACAAUGGGGGAAACCCUGAUGCAGCAACGCCGCGUGAGUGAAGAAGUCAUUCGUGAUGUAAAGCUCUCUCAGCAGGGAAGAAAAUGACGGUACCUGAGUAAGAAGCCCCGGCUAACUACGUGCCAGCAGCCGCGGUAAUACGUAGGGGGCAAGCGUUAUCCGGAUUUACUGGGUGUAAAGGGGGCGCAGACGGCGAUGCAAGCCAGGAGUGAAAGCCCGGGGCCCAACCCCGGGCCUGCUCUUGGAACUGCGUGGCUAGAGGGCAGGAGG